rnacentral:rRNA from 1 species
ACGACGCUGGCGGUGUGCCUCACACAUGCAAGUCGAGCGGACGAAGAUUGAAGCUUGCUUCAGUCCUAGUUAGCGGCGGACGGGUGAGUAACACGUAGGAAUCUGCCUUCAGGGCGGGGGACAACGGAACGAAAGUUGCGCUAAUACCCCAUAUGCGAGUAAUCGUAAAAGGAGCAAUCCACCGGAAGAUGAGCCUGCGUCCGAUUAGCUAGUUGGUAGGGUAAAAGCCUACCAAGGCUACGAUCGGUAGUUGGUCUGAGAGGAUGAUCAGCCACAAUGGAACUGAGACACGGUCCAUACUCCUACGGGAGGCAGCAGGUGGGGUAAUUUUACGCAAGUGGGACGAAAGCCUGACGUAGCGACACCGCGUGAGCGAAGAAGUCCUUUGGGGUGUAAAGCUCUGUCAGCUGGAACGAACACAAUGACGGUACCAGCAGAGGAAGCAUCGGCUAACUACGUG